AAAUCGGUCGUCUCGUCCCACUC
rnacentral:siRNA from 1 species